UGCAAGGGCACUCUGUGUUAUCAUUCAAAUGUGAUAAAACAAUUUGUAACCUUGCUAAAGAAAAGCAAAAUUUGCUUUACACUUCUGAGUCUAUUCAUUUGGUUCAAAAGUUAUAACAUUUUGCUACAAUCA